rnacentral:rRNA from 1 species
AGCAGUCGCCACGGUAAUACGUAGGUGGCAAGCGUUGUCCGGAAUUAUUGGGCGUAAAGCGCGCGCAGGUGGUUUAAUAAGUCUGAUGUGAAAGCCCACGGCUCAACCGUGGAGGGUCAUUGGAAACUGUCAAACUUGAGUGCAGGAGAGAAAAGUGGAAUUCCUAGUGUAGCGGUGAAAUGCGUAGAGAUUAGGAGGAACACCAACGGCGAAAGCACUCUGCUGGGCCGACACUGACACUGAGAGACGAAAGCUAGGGGAGCAAAUGGGAUUAGAUACCCCUGUAGUCCCUGUCUCUUAUAC